UUUAUGUUUUGGCUGAUUUUGAUUGUAUUUUAUUUGCAGAUAUUGAUUGGUUCGUUUGGAAGCUAGCGUGGUUCAAUUGGUUUAUUUGGAGAUAUUGAUUGGUUUGCUUGAAUGCUAGCGUG